AUACGGAGGGUGCAAGCGUUACUCGGAAUCACUGGGCGUAAAGCGCGCGCAGGCGGUUUGAUAAGUUGGAUGUGAAAUCCUAUGGCUCAACCAUAGAACUGCAUCCAAAACUGUCAAACUAGAGUCUGGGAGAGGAAGAUGGAAUUAGUUGUGUAGGGGUAAAAUCCGUAGAGAUAACUAGGAAUACCAAAAGCGAAGGCGAUCUUCUGGAACAGUGCUGACGCUGAGGCGCGAAAGCGUGGGGAGCAAACAGGAUUAGAAACCCCAGUAGUCC
rnacentral:rRNA from 1 species